GACGAACGCUGGCGGCGUGCUUAACACAUGCAAGUCGAACGGUGAAGCUCCAGCUUGCUGGAGUGGAUCAGUGGCGAACGGGUGAGUAACACGUGAGCAACCUGCCCCUGACUCUGGAAUAAGCGCUGGAAACGGCGUCUAAUACUGGAUACGAGAAGGGUCCGCAUGGGCACUUUCUGGAAAGUUUUUCGGUUGGGGAUGGGCUCGCGGCCUAUCAGCUUGUUGGUGAGGUAAUGGCUCACCAAGGCGACGACGGGUAGCCGGCCUGGGAGGGCGACCGGCCACGCUGGGACUGAGACACGGCCCAGACUCCAACGGGAGGCAGCAGUGGGGAAUAUUGCACAGUGGGCGAAGGCCUGAUGCAGCGACGCCGCGUGGGGGAUGACGGCCUUCGGGUUGUAAACCUCUUUCAGCAGAGAAGAAGCGAAAGUGACGGUACCUGCAGAAGAAGCACCGGCUAACUACGUG
rnacentral:rRNA from 1 species